rnacentral:rRNA from 1 species
AGCGAACGCUGGCGGCAGGCCUAACACAUGCAAGUCGAGCGGCCGUAGCAAUACGGCAGCGGCAGACGGGAGAGUAACACGUGGGAACGCGCCCUUCGGUUCGGAAUAACUCAGGGAAACUUGAGCUAAUACCGGAUACGCCCUUACGGGGAAAGAUUUAUUGCCGAAGGAACGGCCCGCGUCCGAUUAGCUUGUUGGUGAGGUAACGGCUCACCAAGGCGACGAUCGGUAGCUGGUCUGAGAGGAUGACCAGCCUCACUGGGACUGAGACACGGCCCAGACUCCUACGGGAGGCAGCAGUGGGGAAUAUUGGACAAUGGGCGCAAGCCUGAUCCAGCCAUGCCGCGUGGGUGACGAAGGCCCUAGGGUUGUAAAGCCCUUUCAGCGGGGAAGAUAAUGACGGUACCCGCAGAAGAAGCCCCGGCUAACUUCGUGCCAGCCGCCGCGGUAACAC